rnacentral:tRNA from 1 species
GGGGAUACAGCUCAGUUGGUAGAGCGCUUGCCUGGCAUGCAUGAGGCCCUGGGUUCAAUCCCUAACACUACCCCCC